UUUAAAUAUAAAUACUCAGAAUGGAUGUUAUUUAUCUAACAGCUCUUGUCCAUUUGCUCGGAUAAAAUUCGCAUUUAUGAGUUGUUGUCUCAGACAAGUAAAUAGGGCAAGCUUGCACGCCGACCUGAUUAUUUAAUCGCUGAUGCUCGUGUUCUUUAAUAAAUUCCCUAUCCAAUAAAUAAAGAAAUUAGGGAAUCAGAUAGGCCUGAACCAAGGUUCCAAGAUUUUGUAAAUUCGGGCCCAUUAUAGCCGAAGUUUAAAUCAGGAAGCUCUCUUUUUUCACUACUCAAAAACAACACGAGCAAUGGCAGAUGCAGAGGCAGACAUAACAAACACGGCGCCUCUUCCGUCAAUACAAGAUACUGGAAGACCUGAAUACGGAUGUGAUCAUUACCGUAGGAGAUGCAAAAUUCGAGCUCCGUGUUGUCAACAAAUAUUCUCCUGCCGCCAUUGUCAUAACGAGGCUACUAAUGCUAUGAGCAAACCUAAAGAUCGUCAUGAAAUUGUUAGGCAUGAUAUUCAACAAGUUAUUUGUUCACUUUGCAAUUUUGAGCAGCAGGUUGCUCAGGUUUGCACAAAUUGUGGAGUCAAGAUGGGUGAAUACUUUUGUAAUAUAUGCAAAUUUUAUGACGAUGAUACAACUAAAGGACAAUUUCACUGCGAAGGAUGUGGAAUUUGUAGAGUUGGCGGUCAAGACAAGUUUUUCCACUGUGAGAAGUGUGGUUCUUGCUAUCAAGUGGAGCUGCGUAAUAAUCAUUCAUGUGUUGAGAAUUCCAUGAAGAAUUGUUGCCCAGUCUGUUAUGAGUAUCUUUUUGAUUCAGUUAAAGGUGCAACAGUUAUGAGGUGUGGACACACCAUGCAUGCAGAUUGCUUUCAGGAGAUGGCUAAACAAAAUCAGUACCGUUGUCCAAUCUGCUCCAAGACUGUACUGGAAAUGGGACGCUAUUGGAGAAUGCUAGACCAGGAGACACUCCAAAAUUUUAAUAGUGAUGUGGAAUCUGUUGGUUUAGUGGAAGACCAGACUGUAUCAACUGGAUCGAAGCUGUUCAAAUGCCCAGAGAAUACCGUUAUGAGCACAGUUCUCAAGUUUCUUGUUUAUUUUCCGCGGGAUCCUACUGCCCUCGAAAGCUCUUUAAACAAGUUAUUCUUUUUGUAAGAAGGAAAAAGAAAAGAAGAUGCCAUACUAUAAAUACAAAUUGACUCGCUCCUCGCUUAACUCUAGAGUGGAACCUUCUCAAUUGAGCAUGUUUCUCCAUCAAUAAGCCCUAAAAUAGAGAAUCAGGCUGCAUUGUCUGUAGAAAAUUGGAAAGCACAUUACAAAUCCUGGUUGUGAGAAGUUGCCUACUUGGCUGCAGAAGAUACAUUCCCUCGAGUGAUUAUUCUGAUGGUUUUUGUGAUUUGCAAUGGGUGCGGUCCCAAUUUUAUGCAAUGACUGCAAUGAGACCAGCAAAGUUGCAUUUCACGUUAUUGGGCUUAAGUGCAGUCACUGCGAAUCCUAUAACACGCGAAGGAUUUCAACACCAGCUGGUCAAUGAGUGAGUUGUUUAAACAA